rnacentral:rRNA from 1 species
GCCCCCCUCAAGAUGAGAUCUCCUAGCAGAAAUGUGAGAGACCCCUUAGAGACGAUGAGGUAGAUAGGGCAGGGGUGGAAGUGCAGCGAUGCAUGGAGCUGACUGCUACUAAUCGGUCGAAAGCUUGACCUA